AAUUAUUCGAUAUAAACAACACACUAUUUUUCUAUUAACUGCAAGGAAAUCGUUACUAAUUAAUCCAUCCAAAGGAAAAGGUAAUGUCGUCGUUGAAUUUAAAAAAGAUUUCAACGCCACGUUAAGGUUAUCUAUUAAACAGGAAUACAAGAAGCAAAAGAUUCUAUCAAAUAUUUACAAAGAUGGUUGAAGGACAUUAUGAACAGGUCCAGUUAAUAUAUUGAAGGUAAAUAUGAAAGAAGCAAUUAAAUGUGAAGCAAUUAAACAAAGUAAUAAGGCAACAAAAAAUAGUGAUAGGCCGUAAUCACAAUGGAAAGACUUUUUGGAAUAUUUAUAUCCACAGUUAUUUAUUUCUUUAUCAAGUACUCUGAUCAUAGGAAUGUUAAACAUAUGGAUCCCAAAAAGACACGAUAAUACAUAAAUGUAUUGACAAAAAUAGUAUAAAGUAAAGGAAAUGUUUCUACAAGGAAUAUUUUGGGAAUGCUUCUGUGACCAUUACUUAUGUUGGCAUGCAUAUAUAUUGCACAAACAUUUUUUACUUUUGCUUAUAUUCACGCAAUUUCUUAUAUUAUAAAAAAAGUGGCAAUGAAAUCAAAAUGUAUUCAAAUCUAUCAUUGUGCAAGGUGGUACACUCUUCGAGAAACAGAAGUAUUUUUUAAAGUAGUUGCAUAUGCAUCUGAAAAUUUAGUACAUGGUACAGGUUUUUUCUGUCAGCUACAAAUUUACUUUGAAAUGAUAUUUUGCUUUGUACAUUGUACUUUGUUGGUCAUUUCAUGUCUAUUGGGCAAUUGACAUUCGGCCAUCUUACGGCAUUUUUUAUGCCAACUCAAAUAGUUCAAAGAUUCUCUCUCUAGUAUUUUAUUAUUCUUACUUACAAAAUGUUAUAUAAACUGUUAAUAAUCAUAUGUGAAUUUUAUCUUAUAG